UACGUAGGGAGCAAGCGUUGUCCGGAAUCAUUGGGCGUAAAGCGCGCGUAGGUGGUCCCGUAAGUCCGCUGUGAAAGUCAAAGGCUCAACCUUUGAAAGCCGGUGGAUACUGUGGGACUAGAGUACGGAAGAGGCGAGUGGAAUUCCUGGUGUAGCGGUGAAAUGCGCAGAUAUCAGGAGGAACACCAAUGGCGAAGGCAGCUCGCUGGGACGUGACUGACGCUGAGACGCGAAAGCGUGGGGAGCAAACAGG
rnacentral:rRNA from 1 species